UGAAUCAGUGAUGACCAUUCUUGGUAGCCGAUGAGUUGUGGCCAAGAAUACAUAUUUGGAACUCUGAGGUCCAU